GACGAACGCUGGCGGCGUGCUUAACACAUGCAAGUCGAACGGAAAGGCCCUGCUUUUGUGGGGUGCUCGAGUGGCGAACGGGUGAGUAACACGUGAGUAACCUGCCCUUGACUUUGGGAUAACUUCAGGAAACUGGGGCUAAUACCGGAUAGGAGCUCCUGCUGCAUGGUGGGGGUUGGAAAGUUUCGGCGGUUGGGGAUGGACUCGCGGCUUAUCAGCUUGUUGGUGGGGUAGUGGCUUACCAAGGCUUUGACGGGUAGCCGGCCUGAGAGGGUGACCGGCACCAUUGGGACUGGGAUACGGCCAGGACUCCUACGGGAGGCAGCGGUGGGGAAUAUUGCACAAUGGGCGGAAGCCUGAUGCAGCAACGCCGGGUGCGGGAGGACGGCCUUCGGGUUGUAAACCGCUUUCGCCUGUGACGAGGCGUGAGUGAGGGUAAUGGGUAAAGAAGCACCGGCUAACUAGGU
rnacentral:rRNA from 1 species